GACGAACGCUGGCGGCGUGCUUAACACAUGCAAGUCGAACGGAAAGGCCCUGCUUUUGUGGGGUGCUCGAGUGGCGAACGGGUGAGUAACACGUGAGUAACCUGCCCUUGACUUUGGGAUAACUUCAGGAAACUGGGGCUCAUACCGGAUAGGAGCUCCUGCUGCAUGGUGGGGGUUGGAAAGUUUCGGCGGUUGGGGAUGGACUCGCGGCUUAUCAGCUUGUUGGUGGGGUAGUGGCUUACCAAGGCUUUGACGGGUAGCCGGCCUGAGAGGGGGACCGGCGACAUUGGGCCUGAGAGACGGCCCAGACUCCUAUGGGAGGCAGCAGUGGGGAAUAUUGCACAAUGGGCGGAAGCCUGAGGCAGCAACGCCGCGUGCGGGAUGACGGCCUUCGGGUGGUAAACCGCUUUCGCCGGUGACGAAGCGUGAGUGACGGUAAUGGGUAAAGAAGCACCGGCUAACUACGUG
rnacentral:rRNA from 1 species